rnacentral:rRNA from 1 species
CGAACGGGUGAGUAACACGUGGGCAACCUGUCCUCUCGCGGGGGAUAACACCGGGAAACCGGUGCUAAUACCGCAUGUCAUCGCUGGUCGCAUGGCCGGUGAGAAAAGCAGCAAUGCACGAGAGGGUGGGCCCGCGGCCUAUCAGUUAGUUGGUGGGGUAACGGCCUACCAAGGCUUUGACGGGUAGCUGGUCUGAGAGGACGACCAGCCACACGGGGACUGAGACACGGCCCCG